rfam:Eimeria tenella Houghton genomic scaffold, Eth_scaff216
UAAAGAGUAGCCAAGUGGUACGGCAACGGAUUUUGAUUUCGGUAUGCAUAGGUUCGAUUCCUAUCUCUUUAA